AACGAACGCUGGCGGCAUGCCUAACACAUGCAAGUCGAACGAAAUCCUUCGGGGUCUAGUGGCGCACGGGUGCGUAACGCGUGGGAAUCUGCCCUUAGGUUCGGAAUAACAGUUAGAAAUGACUGCUAAUACCGGAUGAUGACGUUAAGUCCAAAGAUUUAUCGCCUGAGGAUGAGCCCGCGUAGGAUUAGCUAGUUGGUGUGGUAAAGGCGCACCAAGGCGACGAUCCUUAGCUGGUCUGAGAGGAUGAUCAGCCACACUGGGACUGAGACACGGCCCAGACUCCUACGGGAGGCAGCAGUGGGGAAUAUUGGACAAUGGGCGCAAGCCUGAUCCAGCAAUGCCGCGUGAGUGAUGAAGGCCUUAGGGUUGUAAAGCUCUUUUACCCGGGAUGAUAAUUACAGUACCGGGAGAAUAAGCCCCGGCUAACUCCGUG
rnacentral:rRNA from 1 species